AACUAGAGGGCCUUUUUAACCCUUUUCCCGUUAAAAAAUGGUAGUAGUUGUUGCUAGUUUAGGGUCAAAUUUGGACAUUUUACCUCAAUUUAUAGACAGAUUAGGGUUUCAUUCUUGAUUGGAACUCUGUCUGCCGAGGCUGCAACUUCUUUCUGGUCUAAUUCUGCUCUGCUUCUCCUCUUUAUGUUAAUUUGCAUUUUUAUUUCUUUUUCUGCCCUCUACUCUAUGAUUUGCAUUGAUCUUAGGAAGCCAGGUUUUGGUUGUAAAUGAGUAAGGGAAUGGUUAUGUUAAAAAUCCAAUCUUUUUUGGCCCUUCAUUGAUGCCAACUAAAAAAUGAUUUAAUCUUGUACUAGUAUUAAUUUAUGUGAACAUGGGAUAUAGAGGAAAAUGAUGAAAUAUAGCAGGUACUUAUGAUGGAUUUUGUGGCCAGAUUGUACUCCUGGUGCAGCCAUGUUUGGCUGUGCUGAGCUUCUAGGACACAUAUAUAUAUCUGGUUGAUUAUCUAUUCAAAUACUUGCUGAUUCCUUCUCUAUUCUGCUCUACUACAUUUUUAGCCUUUUGAGUCUUUUACUAAAUGGGUUAUUGCUAGUAGUUAUUCCUAUUGCUAAACUGUCAAAGAAUCUUCUUGUUCUGUUGAGUCCCCCAUUGGUGGGAAUUGGAAUUAUGUGUUUCUUUAUAUGGUAUUAGACUAUCCUCACCUCAUGAGUUAUCUUUUGAGUUACGCUCGAGAUCCAUUUUUUAUCAUGUAUUUCCUCUUUCUUUGCUACACUCGAGCCGAGUGUCUUCGGGAAACAGCCUCUUUACCUCUCGUGGGGGUAAGGUCUGCGUACAAUCUACCCUCCCCAGAUCCCACCUUGCGGGAUUACACUGGGUAUGUUGUUGUUGUUGUCUUUCAAUUGUUGAAUGACUUUAGGGUCAUAUUGGAAGUGUUUGAAUUGAGUUAGUGAAUAAAAUGGAAAAAUCAGAAUCAAAUUAUAGUCUUUGAAGUUUCUUAAUAAAGUGGAGCAAAGGUUGCAUUACAUAAUACAUGGAAGCUGGAAAUACAUCAACAUUGACCAGAGGUAGAAAAACAUUUGGAAAUCAUGUUUUAGUUAUUUAACAAACAUCAAGUUGAUUAACUUGUUCCGCACACUUUUUGUAAUGUCCCUCUUACAUUUUUCUCUCAUCUUUAAUGUGAUGAUUAUUAUUGUGUCACUGAUGCCAAGAACGAUAUGAAUAAAGAUCGUCUUUUGCAAAUUUUAUCAGCCUUUAAGGUCAUUGUGGUGAUGAUUGGAACUGGAUGAUGACGCCGUAGUAUUUGUAGCCUCAAGGUUUUCACCUAGUGAACCCUUCUUCACUUUCUCCCUUUUCACGAUUUCUGCAUCUAUAUGUAUAUCUUCAUCAAUUGUCAGAAUGAUAGCUUUUGAUCCAUCUGGACUGGCUAUGACGUCUUUGUGGACCUUCAUGUGUUCAUCCACUUUCACGAUAUGAAUUCCCUGAGAAGUUUUCUUGUUCCUCUUCUUAAGGAAGCAGCACAGAGCGACUGAGAGAAAUGCCAGAAAGAAUAGACCACCGAGCGAGACAAAUAUAAUGAUGAUGGUAUGAGAAUGAUGUCCCGGUGGAGGUGGGGGCGGAGUUGGAACAACAGUGUGCUGGUGGUGGAGGAUAGAAGGGGCGAGGUGGUGGCUUAAUUGGUGAUGGAGGUGGUAUUGAAUGACUUGGUGGCUUUGCUGAUGGUUGCGGACUAGGAUAGUGAUGUGGUGGUGAUGGUGUAACCAGUGGACGUGAUGGCGCGGGUGGUGUGACUGGUGGAUGUGGUGGGGCCACUUCUGGUGGUGAUGGAGUAACGGGUGGACGUGGUGGGUCCACUUUUCGAGGGGAAGGAGGUGUAUUAGAUUGGUGUGGCGGUGACACAGUUGGAAGAAAUGGAUAGUUAUGAGGUGGGAAUGGAGGGAAAUAGGGGAAGUUGAAAUUUUGAGUGUUAGCCAUUGCAAUGGAAGUUUUUUGCUUUGCUAAAAGCUCAGUAAGCUUUGUGUAAGAUGACGCUUAUUGUUAGUGUUUUGUAUAUAUAUUAGAUGUUAGUAUGAUAAUAUGUAAGGUUCUUAUGACUCGACUCUCGGGCUAAGUUUUGCCAA